AUUCUUUUGUAGUUCCUAAAUGUGACUAUUGGGUGUUCAUGCUGUUUUAUGAUAUAUUCUUUCUUCAAAUCUGCUCAUAAUGUGGACAUAUUACUGGUAUGGUG